rnacentral:rRNA from 1 species
CCUGAUGCAGCCAUGCCGCGUGUGUGAAGAAGGCCUUCGGGUUGUAAAGCACUUUCAGUUGUGAGGAAAGGUUAGUAGUUAAUACCUGCUAGCCGUGACGUUAACAACAGAAGAAGCACCGGCUAACUCCGUGCCAGCAGCCGCGGUAAUACGGAGGGUGCGAGAGUUAAUCGGAAUUACUGGGCGUAAAGCGCACGCAGGCGGUUUGUUAAGCUAGAUGUGAAAGCCCCGGGCUCAACCUGGGAUAGUCAUUUAGAACUGGCAGACUAGAGUCUUGGAGAGGGGAGUGGAAUUCCAGGUGUAGCGGUGAAAUGCGUAGAUAUCUGGAGGAACAUCAGUGGCGACGGCGACUCCCUGGCCAAAGACUGACGCUCAUGUACGAAAGUGUGGGUAGCGAACAGGAUUAGAUACCCUGGUAGUCCACACCGUAAACGCUGUCUACUAGCUGUUUGUGACUUUAAGUCGUGAGUAGCGAAGCUAACGCGCUAAGUAGACCGCCUGGGGAGUACGGCCGCAAGGUUAAAACUCAAAU